rnacentral:lncRNA from 1 species
AAGAAGGGAUGUUCUGUCAUCAUCAAGGUGGUAACAUGAGAAUACACAUCAACGUUCACAAGUGCAUCCAUGGAAUGGGUUUCAAGAAGCUUGCCUCUCGUGCACUCAAAGAAAACCGGAAAUUUGCUAUGAAGGAGAUGGGGCCUACAGAAGUGUGCAUUGAUACAAUGUUCAAUAAAGCCAUCUGGUCCAAGGGAAUAAGGAAUGUUUUGUAUUGUAAGAACAUUUGUCCAGAAAACCUAACGAGGAUAAAGAUUCACCAAACAAGCUCCACACAUUGGUUACUUACGUGCCUGUUACUACAUUAGAAAAUAUACAGUCAGUG